GACGAACGCUGGCGGCGUGCUUAACACAUGCAAGUCGAACGGAAAGGCCCCUUUGGGGGUACUCGAGUGGCGAACGGGUGAGUAACACGUGAGUAACCUGCCCUUGACUUCGGGAUAACUUCAGGAAACUGGGGCUAAUACCGGAUAGGAAUCCUUGCUGCAUGGUGGGGGUUGGAAAGCUUCGGCGGUUUUGGAUGGACUCGCGGCUUAUCAGCUUGUUGGUGGGGUAGUGGCUUACCAAGGCUUUGACGGGUAGCCGGCCUGAGAGGGCGACCGGCCACAGUGGGACUGAGAGACGGCCGAGAGUCCGACGGGAGGCAGAAGUGGGGGAUAUUGCAGACGGGGCGGAAGCUGGAGGCAGCCACGCCGGGGGGGGGAUGGCGGCCUUCGGGUUGUAAACGGCUUUCCGCAGGGGCGAAGCGUGGGGGGAGGGGACCUGCAGAAAGAGCAACCGCUAAUCACGU
rnacentral:rRNA from 1 species